rnacentral:lncRNA from 1 species
GCAGCUUCUACAGUGAAGACUUCUCAGAGGUCCCCAGGGCUGGGUGAGUACCACAGGCCUGUGUGGGCUGUGUCCUCUCUCCUGCGGCAAUGGUGUUGUAUGAUAGUGUAAUUAUGUGAGUAUAAUUGCUUACCUGAUCCCUCCCCACUCCACCAUGCCCUCGCUGAGAAGGAGAGCAUAGCUUGUUGAGAGCCGUGGCCCAGGCCUGUGAAACAGAUGGCACACACUCAGCUUGGUUAAAAGUCUGGGUGGAUGAAUGGACUGCAGCGGUCCAGUCUUCUAUUGGAAACGGAAAUGUCCGCGAAUAACAAUAAAAUAAAAAAAUGAGGACGACUGAGAAGGAAAACCAAUGAUGCAGUUUUAAUGUUCCUCCAACAACACAAACAGAAUUAAAAUGUUCUUCGAUUUCAGACAAAGGAAGAAGGAUUGGGUUAAGGGCAAAAGAAAAAUUUGUACUGUUUUAUAGAAAGCACGAGUUAGAAGCGCUGUAACUUUUCUGGGCACACAGAAAGACCCGCUAGAACAUUCCUUCCAGUGCUGAUCCAUCCCGAAGAGCAAUGCGCUGGCUGUGGAGGUGGGAGAGGGGGAAGGGAGGGGCGGGCUGCCUUAGGUCAGGCAGUCUGCAUGGGAUGGACUUGGGGGUAGAAGGUGUGAUGGUCGAGUGGGC